rnacentral:misc_RNA from 1 species
UCCCGGUUAUCCCGGGCAGUCUGGCAUGAAAUAUACAACAUACCAUAAGGGUUGCGCUCGUUGCGGGACUUAACCCAACAUCUCACGACACGAGCUGACGACGGCCAUGCAGCACCUGUCACUAGGCUCCCGAAGGCACCCCCGGGUUUCCCCAGGGUUCCUAGGAUGUCAAGCCUUGGUAAGGUUCUUCGCGUAGCUUCGAAUUAAACCACAUCAUCCACCGCUUGUGCGGGUCCCCGUCAAUUCCUUUGAGUUUUAAGCUUGCGCUCGUACUCCCCAGGCGGCUUACUUAUCGCGUUAGCUUCGCAGCACAGGGGGUCGAUACCCCAUACUACUAGUAAGCAUCGUUUACGGCGUGGACUAC